CUUGGUCAUUUAGAGGAAGUAAAAGUCGUAACAAGGUUUCCGUAGGUGAACCUGCGGAAGGAUCAUUAUUGAAUAAACCUGAUGGGUUGUCGCUGGCUCUCUAGGGAGCAUGUGCACGCCUGUCAUCUUUAUAUUUCCACCUGUGCACCUUUUGUAGAUCUGGAUAACUCUCGAGGUUAAACUCGGACGGGAGCGCUGCCUUUUAGCUUCACUCCAAUUUCCAGGUCUAUGUUUUUCAUACACCCCAUAGUAUGUAACAGAAUGUAUCAAAGGGCCUUUGUGCCUAUAAACAUUAUACAACUUUCAGCAACGGAUCUCUUGGCUCUCGCAUCGAUGAAGAACGCAGCGAAAUGCGAUAAGUAAUGUGAAUUGCAGAAUUCAGUGAAUCAUCGAAUCUUUGAACGCACCUUGCGCUCCUUGGUAUUCCGAGGAGCAUGCCUGUUUGAGUGUCAUUAAAUUAUCAACCUCUCCUAGCUUUUCUAUGAGCUUAGUGAGAGGCUUGGAUGUGGGGGUUCUUUUGCUGGCUUCAAAGAAUGAGGUCAGCUCCCCUGAAAUGCAUUAGCGGGGAAUCCCUUGUGAACCGUCUAUUGGUAUGAUAAUUAUCUAUGCCGUUGACGCGACGCACUUUUGUAAUGGGUGUUCAGCUUCUAACAGUCCAUUGAAUUGGACAAUACUUAAAUGACAAUUUGACCUCAAAUCAGGUAGGACUACCCGCUGAACUUAAGCAUAUCAAUAAGCGGAGGAAAAGAAACUAACAAGGAUUCCCCUAGUAACUGCGAGUGAAGCGGGAAAAGCUCAAAUUUAAAAUCUGGCGGUCUCUGGCCGUCCGAGUUGUAAUCUAGAGAAGUGUUAUCCGCGCUGGACCGUGUACAAGUCUCCUGGAAUGGAGCGUCAUAGAGGGUGGGAAUCCCGUCUUUGACACGGACUACCAGGGCUUUGUGAUGCGCUCUCAAAGAGUCGAGUUGUUUGGGAAU
rnacentral:sRNA from 1 species